GACGGAGGGCGCAAGCGUUGUUCGGAAUUACUGGGCGUAAAGCGCGGGCAGGUGGUCCGUUAAGUCGUUUGUGAAAAUCCGGGGCUCAACCCCGCGAAAUGCAGACGAUACUGGCGGACUAGAGAUUGGUAGAGGCUAGCGGAAUUCCUGGUGUAGCGGUGGAAUGCGUAGAUAUCAGGAAGAACACCAGUGGCGAAGGCGGCUAGCUGGGCCAAGUCUGACACUCAUCCGCGAAAGCGUGGGGAGCAAA
rnacentral:rRNA from 1 species